AAGUAGCUCGAGAGUUCAGUACUAUAGAAAAUCAAUGGCCAUGUCUCAAGUUUACUUUCUUUUCUGCUUCCUUCUCAUUACAACUGCAAUAGCUGAGUGGGAACUAAACCUUGAUCCACCAGCAAUAGGAUGCUUAAAUCAGAUCAGUACUUCAUCAGAGGGAAGUUGUUUUAAUUGUGACCAAAAUUGCAAAAACAAUGAGAAUGCCUCUGGUGGAAUUUGUCAAUUUGGAGUUUGUUACUGCAGGACCUGUUUUACCCCUAUUGAUAAACCUUAGGACUGUUGAAUUUAAUUUGUUUGGGACUCAAAUUGAUACUAUUAUUUCUUUGAAGGGCGAUAUUAGCCAUUUCUAUCUAUUCUCGCAGUGUUAUUUAUGUUAUCCAAAUCCAAUGGACUUGUAGCUCUCCUUUGAAGAAGUCCGAAAUGGAGUAAUAUAUUAUUAGUUUGACGUAUUA